CGCCGCGGUUAGACGACGAGGCUCAAAUUGAUGUUCCACCGGCGUAAAGCGUGAUUAGAUAAAUAAAAAACUAAAGCUAAAUACACCCACAGCUGUUAUACGCUUACGGGUUACGAGGCCCCACAACGAAAGUGGCUUUAACACAUUAUUGAAUUCACGACCGCUAAGAAA
rnacentral:rRNA from 1 species